rnacentral:pre_miRNA from 1 species
CAAAUACUCCCUCCGUCCGGAAAUACUUGUCAUCAAAAUGGAUGAAAAUGGAUGUAUCUACAACUAAAAUACAUCUAGAUACAUCCAUUUCAAUGACAAGUAUUUCCGGACGGAGGGAGUACGUU